CAAACAAUAAUAUACUUAACAGAUGGUAUUUCUUAACGACGUUACAGAGAGUCGUCUUGACAUCAGAGAGGAGAGCAAAACGGAUCGUAGCAGGAAGAGAGUGUAAUCCCUUGUCCUUGGCUCCAUAUAGCCCAAAUUACGUCAUAACGUUUAGUUUAGACUCUGCCAUAUAAGGAAGUUCCCUAUAUAAAAACCACCUCAAAUCUCUUAUACAGCAAAUUCCAGAGACCUCAUGGUACAGAAUAGCAAACACCAUCUGUUCUGUUUAACCCAUUAGACAGCCACACCUUAAUAUGUAUUUGAAUAGGAACAUAUAGAAUAUGCAAUAUUCUACAAUGUAUGGAGUAGCUGCCUGUAUAUCUGGAAGGGAAUAUCUCCUAAAUGGCUUUUAACCCCUUUUAUGCCUGGGGGGUGCCGUUACAGGGGGUGGUGGUGACAGCGUGGGAAGUGGUG